CAUUCCUUACUUAGAGCACUGCAUGGAAGUCUCCAGGUUAGGGCAAUAACCCUUCCUUGGUAUCAAAAAUAUGUGUUACAGUGACACGGUAAAGUACAAGUGUGGCACCCACUUCAAACAUUAAGAGAGUUCCCAUCAAGCUGACUUUUGAUGGAGUGCCAGUCAUGUAUCACUGCAGACUGCAGAAGGGGCCUACUGUGGAGUUUGUUUGACACAGGAGGAAGAUCUGCGGUGUCCUUUAGGAAAAGCCUUGGCAAGCACCAUGAGACCAAAACCAUCAGCAAGUGGUUGUUCAUACCCCAGAGUGCUGCUGGCUCAAGGCACAGCCAGCCAGACCAGAACUGCUUUUCACGGUUCCCAGUCAUCCUUAGAAGUGGGUUUGGAAUGCGGUGUAACAAUCAGUUCCACUCAGAAGCUGCUGCUGCCUAGGCAAGAGGUCGUACUGAUGUCACUAAGUGUCUUCCUGGAAGCCUCCUACAGAAAUAAAGCUUAAAAACUGCGAGAGAAGAAAGUAAGGUGGCCACCUGGCUCUUUAAAUACUUAUGCCUUACCACAGUGUUUGUUGAUUGUUUCAAAUGAGGACAGCUGAAAAUAUUUAAACAUAUUUGAGCAUGAAAGCAAAAUUUGCUAAAAUGUAUCUGUCAAGUGUAAAUGUUCUAGAGACAUAGAUGGGCCCUGCCUUACAGAAUGGAUAUGGUGAGGCAGUGAGUUCCUUAAAGAUUUAUCUUCAGCCAAGUUAUUUGCCUUCUGUUAUUUCCAUUGACGACGGUGUCUCUACAAGCCUCACUGCCCACCUCUUGCUUGAUUGUAAAGUUUAAGCCAGAAAGAAAUAUGCUGCCAUCUGUCUUAACUUUCUGAUGAGAAAAUUUCACCCUGCUAAUACAGAUAAAACUUCAGUUAAAGUUUAUCUUUCAAAAAAAACCACUGUCCUGAUUUAUGAACAUAAAAAAAUCAGAGAAUGUCCACUCAUCUAAGUUGUCUGCUCCUAAAUUUAUUUGUUCAGUUAAAAAUCUGUGCAUUCUCCUCUAAUUCGCCUGAUUUCAUCUUCCAAAAAUCAGUUCAUGUUGCACCUUUCUCCAUCAGUCUAGAGAGCUUGUAAGUACCAGGCAUUUUCUCCACAUGAAAGCACUUAUUCACUGUAAUCACCUUACUGUAAUAUCAGUAGGACUGGAUUUCAGUUUGGUUUGAGAAUAAAACACCACAGAUUGAUAAAACGUACUUCAGGAAGCAGUGGAGCUAGUGAAGUUCGUAUUCCUGAGGAUUUGUAUCUCAUAGUUAAAUUCUCUGGUGUCUCAAGGGCACACAAUAAUCAAAGGUUUUCCCAGCAGUGAACCCAUCCAUCAUCAUCAUCAUCAUCAUCCAUGUGGACUCUGGUAUAAUAAUACAGUUGAGCACUUUGGGAUGUUUCUUCUCUCUCUGCUGAGUUAUUUUUUUGGAAUUUGUAGGAGGACAAGAGACAUAGAGACCAAGAGAAAUAUAUAGGUGAUAUGAUCAGUUAAGUUAUAUUUCCAUAGGGAACCAGACCAAAAAAAUAAAAUCAGUUUAUACAAAGAAAACACCAGCUU